GAUGAACGCUGGCGGCGUGCCUAAUACAUGCAAGUCGAGCGAACAGACGAGGAGCUUGCUCCUCUGACGUUAGCGGCGGACGGGUGAGUAACACGUGGAUAACCUACCUAUAAGACUGGGAUAACUUCGGGAAACCGGAGCUAAUACCGGAUAAUAUAUUGAACCGCAUGGUUCAAUAGUGAAAGACGGUUUUGCUGUCACUUAUAGAUGGAUCCGCGCCGCAUUAGCUAGUUGGUAAGGUAACGGCUUACCAAGGCAACGAUGCGUAGCCGACCUGAGAGGGUGAUCGGCCACACUGGAACUGAGACACGGUCCAGACUCCUACGGGAGGCAGCAGUAGGGAAUCUUCCGCAAUGGGCGAAAGCCGGACGGAGCAACGCCGGGUGGGUGAUGAAGGUCUUCGGAUCGUAAAACUCUGUUAUUAGGGAAGAACAAAUGUGUAAGUAACUAUGCACGUCUUGACGGUACCUUAUCAGAAAGCCACGGCUAACUACGUG
rnacentral:rRNA from 1 species